rnacentral:lncRNA from 1 species
AGGCACUUGAUCUAUCUCUUCAUUAAAAUACAUAUCAUUCCCAUGUGAUUUGCGAAUAAAAUUAUGAACUACACAACAUGCCAUAGCAAUUAUGCACUGUACUUUAUAUGGAAACGAUGUUCCGUGAUUUAGAAUCUUAAACUGCUUAUUUAAUAUAUCGAAAGUUUUUUCGACGACAUUUCUCAACUGAGCAUAUCGAUGAUAAUAGAGAUCUUUGGGGUUGCAAU